UACGUAGGGUGCGAGCGUUGUCCGGAAUUAUUGGGCGUAAAGAGCUUGUAGGCGGUUUGUCGCGUCUGCCGUGAAAAUCCGGGGCUCAACCCCGGACUUGCGGUGGGUACGGGCAGACUAGAGUGUGGUAGGGGAGACUGGAAUUCCUGGUGUAGCGGUGAAAUGCGCAGAUAUCAGGAGGAACACCGGUGGCGAAGGCGGGUCUCUGGGCCGAUACUGACGCUGAGACGCGAAAGCGUGGGGAGCGAACAGG
rnacentral:rRNA from 1 species